GAUGAAGAACGUAGCGAAAUGCGAUACUUGGUGUGAAUUGCAGAAUCCCGUGAACCAUCGAGUCUUUGAACGCAAGUUGCGCCCGAAGCCAUUAGGCCGAGGGCACGCCUGCCUGGGCGUCACACGUCGUUGCCCCCCCAUCUACUCCUUCGGGAUUGCGGGGGGCGGAUGAUGGCCUCCCGUGCGCCUCGUCGCGCGGUUGGCAUAAAUGCCAAGUCCUCGGCGACGCACGCCACGACAAUCGGUGGUUGCGAAACCUCGGUUGCCCGUCGUGUGCGGUCGUCGCGCAUCGAGGGCUCGAAAAAAUUGUCGGGCUCCGGCUCGGCUUUCAACGCGACCCCAGGUCAGGCGGGGUUACCCGCUGAAUUUAAGCAUAUCAAUAAGCGGGGGA
rnacentral:misc_RNA from 1 species